UCGCAUCGUUCGAUCGGGAUACUCAUCAAAUAAAAGUAACAACUGAUUCGGUAUUCCAUGCCAAUGGCGGGCCACAGGGAGCGCAAGUUCCCCAGUCGUUUGACCGGUGGAUUACAAAAGCUGGAAUCCUUCAUAACUUCAUUAUAUGGAGUUUCAUCACAUCACGGUGCGGCCUUUC
rnacentral:sRNA from 1 species